rnacentral:rRNA from 1 species
GAGUUUGACAUGGCUCAGGACGAACGCUGGCGGCGCGCUUAACACAUGCAAGUCGAGCGAGAACCCAGGCUUCGGCCUGGGUGAAAGCGGCGAACGGGUGAGUAACACGUGAGUAAUCUGCCCUCGACAUCGGGAUAGCCCGGGGAAACCCGGAUUAAUACCGAAUGGCCCAACAGCUUUUCGGAGCGGUUGGAAAAGGUAGCUUCGGCCUCCGGUCGAGGAGGAGCUCGCGGCGGAUUAGCUUGUUGGUGAGGUAACGGCUCACCAAGGCUUCGAUCCGUAGCUGGUCUGAGAGGACGAUCAGCCACACUGGGACUGAGACACGGCCCAGACUCCUACGGAGGCAGCAGUGGGGAAUCUUGCGCAAUGGGCGAAAGCCUGACGCAGCGACGCCGCGUGAGGGAAGAAGG